rnacentral:lncRNA from 1 species
GAAAAAUAUGAUCUUCUAUGGCUCAGGCAAAAGGAUUGAGAUAAUGGAUAUCUUCACAGCAAAGGCUCCAGAUAUUAGAAAUGACUUGAAUCUCCAAGGGACUGAAGUUAAAAAAAAGGUAUCCACUGCCUUAGAAGGAACUGAUGGAAUCCAAAUGCAGAAUGAAGUAUACUUUUUUUUCAUUUUACUUCCUCCAUGAAUUUUUUUGAACUUUUUCACACUAAAGACAGCAACAAAGUUUCACUUUUGCAAAAGAAAUUUAAUUUGCAUUCACUGAGAGGACUUAUGAAUCAUAAUGCUCUUUACAGAGUGGAAGACACACAAUCUGAUGUGUAGAAAGAAGUCAAGACCUGAGGAAUGAAGAUGUAUUCACUGCUUAGAUUGAUGGUUUUGUGUGUGAGAAAGUCUGCAUAUUGACUUACUUUGAUUUAGAAAAGAAUUAUUUCUAUAUAAUCUAAUAAUCAAAAAACUGAGAAUAUGGCAAAAGUAAAAGUAGUCCAAAUGUCAAAUGUACUGACAUUUCAUUAGGACUGCAAAUUACUACAGAUGGCCUUUCUCCUUUUUUAACCUUUGUCCAGUUAAUUAGCUCAUAAAUAAUCUCUUUUGGGGGAUACCAAGGGAAACAACACUGUAGCCUUAAUCCUAACGGAAGGGUUAGCAUAUUUACACAGAUGUAGCCAGUGAGCUUUAAGUCUACUGAUGGAUUUUGCUCUAGAUUUGGAACUGACCUGAAAGAAGAGAGCAGAAACCAGCUGGUGAAAAAUAAACUAUCAACUACAUUGUACA